CGAACGCCGUAGAGUGACCAUCGCCGUCAGGAACUGGCUCCUGAUCAGCUUCUUCCUUUUCCUCCCCGUCAUUAUUGGCUCUGCCAUCUUGAUCGUCAAGCUGAGAGACAUCUUCUCAGGUCUGAAAGUGGAGGAGGAGAUCGAAGACGAAGGUGAAGAGACCGAAGGUUCUAGAUCGCAAGACGCAGACCAGUCGGAAAAUGCAAGUGUAUAGAAACGGAUGGGCGGACAUUGUCGACUUGGUGGCUGGACUGUCGAAAGCCUUUCCUCCUCUCCUGACAGCGCAAACCCACAACAGUUUAAUGUGACUGCCCCUCUGUGAUGUAGUAUAAUUAUUCAAGCCCAUUUGGCUUGCGGUUACUCAGAUUUUAACAAUAAAAUAGACUUCAUUCUUAAAAGUAAA